AGCGGCAACAGCUCAAAUUUGAAAUCUGGCGGCCUCUGGGCCGUCCGAGUUGUAAUUUGAAGAGGAUGCUUUUGGCGAGGCGCCUUCCGAGUGCCCUGGAACGGGACGCCACAGAGGGUGAGAGCCCCGUAUGGUUGGACGCCGAGCCUCUGUAAAGCUCCUUCGACGAGUCGAGUAGUUUGGGAAUGCUGCUCAAAAUGGGAGGUAAACCCCUUCUAAAGCUAAAUACUGGCCAGAGACCGAUAGCGCACAAGUAGAGUGAUCGAAAGAUGAAAAGCACUUUGAAAAGAGAGUUAAAUAGCACGUGAAAUUGUUGAAAGGGAAGCGCUUGCGACCAGACUUGUGCCCGUCGAAUCAGCCGCCGCUCGCCGGCGGCGCACUUCGGCGGGCUCAGGCCAGCAUCAGUUCGCUGCAGGGGGAGAAAGGCGGCGGGAAUGUGGCUCUUCGGAGUGUUAUAGCCCGCCGCGCAAUACCCCUCGGCGGACUGAGGACCGCGCAUCUGCAAGGAUGCUGGCGUAAUGGUCGUCAGCGACCCGUCUUGAAACACGGACCAAGGAGUCGUCCUAAUAUGCGAGUGUUCGGGUGUAAAACCCCUGCGCGUAAUGAAAGUGAACGGAGGUGAGAGCUUCGGCGCAUCAUCGACCGAUCCUGAUGUUCUCGGAUGGAUUUGAGUAAGAGCAUAUUGGGCCGGACCCGAAAGAAGGUGAACUAUGCCUGUAUAGGGUAAAGCCAGAGGAAACUCUGGUGGAGGCUCGCAGCGGUUCUGACGUGCAAAUCGAUCGUCAAAUAUGGGCAU
rnacentral:rRNA from 1 species